rnacentral:rRNA from 1 species
UACGUAGGGGGCAAGCGUUGUCCGGAUUUACUGGGCGUAAAGAGCGUGUAGGCGGCCAAGCAGGUCCGUUGUGAAAACUGGAGGCUCAACCUCGGCAGGUCGGUUGGAAACCAUAUGGCUAGAGUCCGGAAGAGGAGAGUGGAAUUCCUGGUGUAGCGGUGAAAUGCGCAGAUAUCAGGAAGAACACCAAUGGCGAAGGCAGCUCUCUGGGACGGUACUGACGCUGAGACGCGAAAGCGUGGGGAGCGAACAGG